rnacentral:misc_RNA from 1 species
UAUAUAAUAUCCGGCUUGAAAAUCAACAAUGAUUUUAGGCCUGUUCUUUAAAACCUAUAUCGAUAAAUGGUCAUGUUAAAAAAGACACAUUUCGGCAGAACGACAAGCUCAACUUUCCUGUGAAACCUGGACUCUACCACGUGAAUAUGGGCAGCCGUCUUCAGUGCAAACUCAAAAUCAAGAUAAUUCACAUAAAGAAUUCAAAGAUUGUGAGAGAAUUUUCGCCAGUUGUCAUGGGAGCUUUUCUUGACAAACCCAAGACAGAGAAGCAUAAUGAAGCGGGAAUGGGAAAUGGCCUUCAUUUUGGCCUCAGCAGUAUGCAGGGGUGGCGUGUGGAAAUGGAGGAUGCCCACACGGCAGUUAUCGGCCUACCGCAUGGCCUCACUGACUGGUCCUUUUUCGCUGUAUACGAUGGUCAUGCUGGAGCUAAGGUAUCGGCCUGCUGUGCAGCUCAGCUGAUGGAGCAUAUUAUUGCCAAUGAAGAUUUUCGGGGCAAGCUUGAUGUCAGCCAGGGUACAGAAAUCCUUCCCUCUAUUAUGGAUGUGCAGAAAGGCAUCAAGACCGGCUUUCUUAAGUUUGAUGACUGCAUGCGAACAAUGCCAGAAAUGGUUAGUGGGGAAGACAAAAGUGGCUCUACAGCAGUAUGUGCUAUUGUCUCACCAACACACAUCUUCUUUGCUAAUUGUGGAGAUUCUCGGGCGGUGCUGUGUCGAGAUGGUAAAUGUCCGUUCUCAACUACUGAUCACAAACCUGUAAAUCCUAUUGAGAAGGAACGUAUACAGAAUGCUGGAGGCAGUGUUAUGAUACAGCGAGUCAAUGGAUCUUUAGCAGUAUCCCGGGCUCUAGGAGACUUUGAAUAUAAAAAUGUUGAAGGAAAAGGGCCAUGUGAGCAGUUAGUAUCUCCUGAGCCAGAAAUUUUCACCGAAUGUCGAAAUGAGAAGGAUGAAUUCUUAGUACUUGCUUGUGAUGGAAUUUGGGAUGUCAUGUCCAAUGAAGAACUCUGUGAUUUUGUUAGGAGUAGAAUGCUCAUUACUGAAAGUCUUGAAGACAUUUGCAAUCAAGUUGUAGAUACAUGUUUAUAUAAGGGAAGUCGAGAUAACAUGAGCAUUGUCCUCAUAGCUUUUCCAGGAGCACCUAAGCUGUCAGAUGAGGCAAUAAGGAAAGAAAGAGAACUGGACACACGUUUGGAGAACAAAAUUAAAGAAAUCCUAGACAACUGCAAACCUGAAGAUGAUGUCGACCUUUCUCUUGUGAUGCACGAGUUGAUGGAUGAUGAAAUAGAAGGAUUGCCACCAGGUGGUGGUUUAAGUUCUAAGAGAAUGACAGUUGGAAGUAUUUUAAAGCGACUCAGACCGGGAAAAAUUGAGGAUGAGCUCGAACUUAAAGCCUACUCACCAAUGGGCAGACCAUCCAGCCUGCUCUAAAUAGAGGCUGCCUCCUUUCAAGGUUGGACCUUCUCAACAAGCAGCACUCUAAUCUAAAACACUUGGUUAAUUUUGGCCAUAAUCCUCUUGCUUUCUUUUCUUGCAAAUUCUUCACUUUCAUUGACUUCAGUUCAAUCUUAGCCUUAUAUAAUGGAGCAAAAAAGCUUCUGUAGUGAUUAAUGAGCUGUACUGAGAAGAUUGAAUGAUGGUUUUAUAGAAAUUCAUGUACCAACACCUACCAACCACUUCCUGUCACAUGACUACUGCUAUGAUUCUUACAGCUACAAACAUUACUAUUGUUAAGACUGCUAUUAUCAUUUCUCUUACCAAUUAUUAUACCACUGUUAUUACUCUACUACAAUUUACCACUAAUACUGGCAAUUUUGGUGGUCACUGGCGCAGAUCUCCAUAGAUGUGUACAAGUGAAAAAUGAUGUAGAAAAACUUUUUAUUUUAAUUGAUAUCAUUAGAAAAAAAUGUAAAUUUAAAAAUAAAAUCAGGGGAUGAAAUGAGCUGUAGAAAGAGGCAUUCUACUGAGAGAGCUUGUUUAGACAUACAAUCAAGGAAGAGAACAGAUACACAUGUCAUGUUUUACUUGCUCAUUUUGUCUUUGUUCUUAUCUCCUUCUACUCCUUUUCUCCAAAUUAUAUAUAAGCUGGUUUCAAUAAGAAAAAUGAUGUUCUUGAUCCUCUUCUUCACUGUCAGACACUUUUAAUUUUAUACACUGUAUCCUCUUUGAAUAAUUAGGAUUUACUAAUCAGCUUGGAGGAUUGUCUUUUUUUUUAUGCUUUUAUUAUUUUUUGGGAAUCUGUAAGGCUUCCUCCUCUUCCUGUAAUAACAUAUGGGGAGGAUAGUGUAUGUAAUGAGAGAAAAAGUACUUCUGUAAGAUUUUUGAAAAUUAUGAAAUGUUAACAUUUUAAAUUCUUUCUCCAAUCUCAAAAAGUGUUAAAUGAAAAAAUUAGUAUUUUUCUUUGAAUUUGAAACAUGAAAUAAAAAGGGAAAAAUGUAUUAUACUUUUUAAGAAUCAUGUAAAUUUAUCAUUUGUGAUUGGAAUGCUUCAGCCUCGAAUUAGGUUUUAGAUUCUAAUUUUCAUCAAUUUGGUCACCAACUCCCUUCCUUCCCAAAACAAAUAUCUCUAAAUUGAAUAAGAAAGCCAAUUGAAGAAGAAAGAAAAGUAAACUGUGGAUGUAUUUCUAAGUUGCCAUUAUUGUUACAGUUCUUUUUUUUUUUUUUUUUACAUACAUGUAUCAAAAUAAUUUUUGCUUGUUAAUAGACCUGAUUCUUAGAAUUGGCAAUUCUCACUUACCUAGGAAGACUGACAAUUAUGAAGAUUUGGUAAAGCAUUUACAACCUACAUGGAAAGCUUAGUGAAACUUUUGUCACAAUUUUAACCUUUUCAUGUCAAAAUUUGCAGCUGCUACAUACAUCCCUAUCACAGUCAGAGUAAUGUGGAAAACUGCUGUGUUUACAUUGGUUCAAAUCUUGUUUAAUAUACACAUGACUCACACACCAACAUUAAAACAAAAAAAAAAAGAAAAAAACUUUCGUUAAUUAUCUUAUUGAUGAAGAAAGUGAUUGGGCAGAAGAGUAGCAGAAAUGAAGAAGCAGCCUGCAAAAUAUUGCAUUGGUACCAUGGAAAUGAAUUGUAACAGCAAUCAUUCUAAUGAGUGGCGUUAAUCUUGAAAAAACAGUUGUAUUAACAACUUGCUCAAGCAUUACCGACUCUUUGUUUAUCUUCUCCACUGCUUUUAUUUGCCUAGAUGUCUGCCUUCCUUCAAAACUGUUGAUAUUUAUUUUUACUUUUUUUUGCCUUUUAUAGGUGCUCUUAUUUGGUAUUUUUAGUUUUGAUUUUGAUAUGUCAUUUUAGAGAAACUAGUUGGAAAGGAAUCAGAAUUAAAUUUCAGAUUCACUGAAUGCACAUAAGGGCAUGUGUGCAUGAAUUCUUCAUGAAAUUCUAUCUUGGUUUUCAAGUGUGUAUUUUUUUUUCUUGUAAAGUACCCUUUGUACUUGUGCUGUUUAGUUGAGUGUACAUACAUAUAUGUGUUUGUUUGAAUUAUUUCAUCUAAUAACUCUGUGCCAAAGGCCUUACUAGUUAUUUGUACAUUAAAGGUAAAGUUGUUUCAUAACUUUUAUUUUUAAUCAGCUUUCAUUGAUGUAUUUAAACCAAGAGCCUUUGUUUCGUUGCCCCUCUUUUCCAACUCUUUUAUUACAUGCUAGCCACUGUAUCUCCUCCCUAUCAUCUUGUAUUUUGUAAUUCUCUCUGUUCAUGUUUGUCUACUAAUUUUUUCAGUAUUAAAACUAGCUUCUCUCAGGGUAUGAGACUUAAGAAAUAAACUUUUCUUAAUAUGAGGCCAGCUCCCAGAACUAGUAGCUGUAGCCAGUAUCUCUGGUAAUGACAUGUGACAUGACACACUCCCUGGCUUGGUCAAGGAAAACCGUGUCCAGCAUCACUGCUGCACAAUAACUGAUAAUGUGACCAUUAGAACAGCAGCAAGUGAUUAUGCUGACCAUUAAAGUUAACAUCCCAGUUGGAAAUUUUCUGUCUUUAUUCCAUUUUUUUAUUUUAGAUUUUUAUUUCUAAAAAAUAAAAAGAAUCAGUAUCAAUAAAAAUUGAAAAUUUUCUGGGAUAAAAAGCCUCUGUAUUUUCUGUUAUCAAGCACAAAAUUAGAUUAUGAUAUGAAUGUAAGCAUAUCUAUCUUACUGGAUACUAAUAUAAUUAAGCAAUGAAAUAAACAGUUAUUUUUGCUGGUAAUAUAUAGAAAUAAUUAUCUGCACUAUUACAGCAGAGCUUUUCAUUGGUUCAUCAUUUUUUGUUUUGAUGAUAAAGCAUAAUUUUAAUACAAGUUGUUGGAAAAGAGUCCAUUUUAUACCUAUGAGAUUAAUAAUUUGGAUUCUUAAAUUUCAAGAUAAAAUCUAUAUUAAAAUGCUCAUCCAUUCUUUUUGUGUGAAAAAGUUUAACCUUAAUAUCCAAGUUAUUGCUGUUACUAAUUCCUACACAAAUAUCAUGAGUGUAGUUGUGUUCUUACCAAAACAGAAUUAUAUAUUAAGUAUACUUUUAAAAGUGCGUCUUUAUUAGUAAUCAGUUAUUUAUUUAGGUAGCUUAAUAAAUUUUAUGGUAGUUAGAUAAUAAUGGGGGUGCUAUAAGUUUUGAUCGCAGUUUCCUUGUGAUUAUUGUUGUGGUAGGCUGUCAGUUGUACUAAUAAUAGCAUGCAGGCCACCGGCACACUUAUUAAAAAUGUGUACAGUAACUUUUCCCUCUAAUUUUUUUUUUUUUUUGUGGUGAAAGAUUCUGUUA